AAUCAACGCUGGCGGCGUGCCUAACACAUGCAAGUCGAACGCGAAAGUGGAGCAAUCCAUGAGUAGAGUGGCGAACGGGUGAGUAACACGUGGGUGACCUACCUUCGAAUGGGGGAGUAACGUCCCGAAAGGGACGCUAAUACCGCAUAACAUCCUGCCUUUGAACAGGUGGAGAUCAAAGCCGGGGAGUCGCAAGACCUGGCGUUUGAAGAGGGGCCCGCGUCUGAUAGCUAGUUGGUGAGGUAACGGCUCACCAAGGCGACGAUCAGUAUCCGGCCUGAGAGGGCGGACGGACACACUGGGACUGAGACACGGCCCAGACUCCUACGGGAGGCAGCAGUGGGGAAUUGUUCGCAAUGGGCGCAAGCCUGACGACGCAACGCCGCGUGGAGGAU
rnacentral:rRNA from 1 species